GCCACACCCUCCCCUACAGAAGUGCUAACAGCACAGCCCUCACCAUGGACUGGAGCUGGAGAACCAUCCUCCUGGUUACCCUGGCUACAGGUGUCCACUCCCAGGUGCAGCUGGUGCAGUCUGGGGCUGAGGUGAGGAAGCCUGGGGCCUCUGUGAAGGUCUCCUGCAAGGCUUCUGGAUACACCUUCACCAGCUACUGGAUGCACUGGGUGCGACAGGCCCCAGGCCAGGGGUUUGAGUGGAUGGGGGAUGUUAACCCUAAAAAUGGAAACACAAAUUACGCACAGAAGUUCCAAGGCAGAGUCUCCAUGACUAGAGUCACAUCCACAAGCACAGCCCACAUGGAGCUGAGCAGUAUGAGAGCUGAGGACACAGCCAUGUAUUACUGUGCUAAAUAUACACAGUGA